UAAGUCUUUUCCUUUCACGGGUUCCCCCGCAUGGGGAACGACAGGGAACGCGGUUGAUGCCGCGGCUGCCCCCGCAACUGUAGGCGGAGAGUCUGCGCCGUUUGACCACUGGACCCUUUCAAGGGGUCUGGGAAGGUGGCGCCAGAUGACGACCCGCGAGCCAGGACACCUGCCGUGAACCGGAGGAACGC
rnacentral:ncRNA from 2 species